rnacentral:rRNA from 1 species
GAGUUUGAUCCUGGCUCAGAGUAAACGCUGGCGGCGUGGAUUAGGCAUGCAAGUCGAGCGGUCUUAUAAGAUGAACUUUCUGAAUUCCCGGACGUUUCCUUCGGGAAUCUGAAGGGAUGGAUGAGAGGGAAUCUUUUAAGAUAGCGGCAAACGGGUGAGUAAUGUAUGGGUAAUUUACCUUAAAGAGGAGCAUAGCUUCGCGAAAGCGGAGGUAAUACUCCAUACGCUCUAUGCCUGGGAUGGUGUAGAGGAAAGGUGGCUUAACUCUUUUGAGUGCUGCCGCUUUAAGAGAGGCCCAUAUCUUAUCAGCUUGUUGGCAGGGUAACGGCCUACCAAGGCGAAGACGGGUAGCUGGCCCGAGCAGGGUGGCCAGCCACAUCGGGACUGAGACACUGCCCGGACUCCUACGGGAGGCUGCAGUCGAGAAUAUUUUCCAAUGCCCGAAAGGGUGAGAAUGCGACGCCGCGUGGGGGAUGAAGGUCUUCGGAUUGUAAACCCCUUUUCUGAAAGAGGAAAGCCUGCAGGUUAAGAGCUAACAGGUCUGACAUUAUUUCAGGAAUAAGCCACGGCUAACUCCGUGCCAGCAGCCGCGGUAAUACGGAGGUGGCUAGCGUUACUUGGAAUUACUGGGUGUAAAGGGUCCGUAGGCGUCCUGAUAAGUCUUAUGUGAAAUCUUUCUGCUCAACGGAAAAAUUGCAUAAGAAACUAUCAGGAUAGAGGAUGAAAGAGGAGAGUGGAACUGUUGGUGUAAAGGUGAAAUUUGUGGAUAUCAACAGGAACACCCAUGGCGAAGGCAACUCUCUGGUUCAUUCCUGACGCUGAGGGACGAAAGCCAGGGGAGCAAACAGGAUUAGAUACCCUGGUAGUCCUGGCUGUAAACGAUGAGCACUAGGUGUCUCCAUUCUUCGGGGGUGCCGCAGUUAACGCGUUAAGUGCUCCACCUGGGGACUACGGCCGCAAGGCUAAAACUCAAAGGAAUUGACGGGGGCCCGCACAAGCGGUGGAACAUGUGGUUUAAUUCGAUGCUACGCGAGGAACCUUACCAGGGCUUGACAUGCUGGAAGUAUUCUGGUGGAAACAUUGGAAGACCGGUAUCCAGUCCGGGACCAGCACAGGUGCUGCAUGGUUGUCGUCAGUUCGUGCCGUGAGGUGUUCCCUUAAGUGGGAUAACGAGCGCAACCCUCAUCCUUAGUUGCCAAUUUAGGAUUUAUUUCUAAACGCACUCUAAGGAGACUGCCUGCGUUAAGUAGGAGGAAGGCGGGGAUGACGUCAAAUCAGCAUGGCCCUUAUGUCCUGGGCUACACACGUGUUACAAUGGCGUGUACAGAGGGAAGCGAAGCCGUGAGGCGGAGCAAAUCCUUUAAAGCACGCCCCAGUUCGGAUUGCAGGCUGCAAUUUGCCUGCAUGAAGCCGGAAUCGCUAGUAAUGGCGCAUCAGCAACGGCGCCGUGAAUACGUUCCCGGGCCUUGUACACACCGCCCGUCAAGCGCUGAAAGUAAGGAGCACCCGAAGUCCUGAUUAUUCAGGAUCACGGUGAGCUUUAUGAUUGGUGCUAAGUCGUAACAAGGUAACC